UCGCCCGGGGGCGGGCGCUCCACCACCAGGGCCGGGACAGCGUGUCUUCAGGUUCCACGUCACGCCCAACAGGGAACAGAGUGGUGGCCAGCUGGCCAUCAGAUGGGUGUGCUGGCCAUUGUCCCGUUACUGGAGACUCUUUCUUCAUGGCUCCCCCCUGUUGAAACUGUUUCCCCCAAUGGACUGUGCCUCUCACCAGAAGCUACUGCAGUGACCACGUACUGAGAGCACAUGACUCACUGUUUGCUGAAUUAAGGUUUAAACUGAAUUACCGCACCUCAUCGUCAUCCAAAUCCUGUUUUUAUAAUUUAACUUAGAAUGUUAUUUGAUGUCUCUUUAAUGGUGGGGAUUAUACACUUGUGAAAUAUUUCUACUGCUUUCUAAUGGCAGUAUUAUAAACCUAGGCCUCUUUCUUUUUAUGAUGAAUAUUAUGAAGAACACUGUAUUUUAACUGCCAUUUACUUUCUUCAGAGAACAGCUGGUUGUUCUGUGCUGUGUAACUAUUUAUUUGUAACCUAAUAGUUUCAAGAUUUAGAAUACAUACAGAUGGACACAUUUUUUGGUCUCUGUGGGGGGUUGGUUUUAAGACCCCCCCACA